AUGAGAAAAUUUCGGCUUUGCAUGCACCAGAUUUUGAAUUUAAUUGGUAGUAGAAACUAUUACUGCUCAAUUGCUGCUCACCGGCGCCCCCGCGCCCGCGGCCCGGGCCGCCUGGCCGUAGCAGUACUCGAGCUGGCCGUCGUCCCUGUCGCCCAUAUCGUCGGCGCGGUCCAUGGCGCGGCGGCGACCAUGCCGGACAGGUCGUGGCGGCAGGUGGGGCAGUUGGCGCCGCGGUCGAGCCAGGUGAGCAUGCAGUGCGCGUGGUACGCGUGCGAGCAGGGCAGGUUCACCGACCCGGACUUGCCGCCGUCGCGGAACUCGUCGAAGCAGAUCCGGCACUCCUCGUCCGACCCGGGCGCCACCGUCUGCAUCGCCACCUCGGCGCACCACCGGAGCACGGCCCGGGGCUCGCUGAACACCCGCGUCACCCGGAGCCGCGCGUCCACCUCGAACCGGCAGCGCCGCUCCGGGCAGGAGGCGAGCCAGCGGGAGCCCUGCUCGCGCAGCCACGCCGCGAUGCGCCGCGGCGCGUGCUCGCCGUCCCAGGCGGACUCAUCGGAGAGGUCGAGGCCGACGCCGCGCAGCACGGGCGUGGAGGCGAGCAUGUCGAGCACGGCGGGGAGGACGUCGUCGGGGCGGAGGAGGACGGAGGGGUCGCGCAGGUCGCGCACCUCGUCGGACGUGGACGGCUGCUGGAGGAACUCCGGCUUGACGCGGUCGGGGAGGGCGAGGCCGCCGCCGCGGAGCCGGCGGGUGGCGUGCUCGAGGGUGACGGUGCAGCGGAGGUGCACGGACGAGAGGCCGGCGCCGGCGCGCUCCUCGCCCAGGGCCAGCACGUUGAACCGGAUGGCGGUGCCGGGGGCAGUGCGGAUCCGCGUCUCCACCGCCAUGGCCGCCCAGAUCUCCGGCGCGCGUCUCGCCGGCCGCCCCCGUUUUACGGCGGACACUUUAUCGGGAAAAGAUCUGGAUUCUGGGCCGCUUGAGAACAACGCCACCUGUACCUGGGUCUGGACUUCCGUGACCGGGUUGUACUGCUACACCAGAUCCUAUCUGAAUCCGGUUCAGUUGGUUUUUUCGAUUUUUUUUUUGUUCAGUAUGGGUUUUGGACUGCUGCGUAGGGGACUCCUGGCGGACUCUAAAAAGAACUUUGACAGGGAAAAUAUACAGGAUUGA
rnacentral:rRNA from 1 species